GUCUGCCUCCGUGCUGGGGCCUCAAUGGCUCCAGUGCUGGCAGCAGAGUCGGCAGCCACAGUGGCCUGGGGCUUGGCCACCACUGGCUUCUUGCUGCUGUUCCUGCUCCUCCUCUGCUCCUUCUUCCACAGGUAUGUUUGGUUGGUAUGGAGGGCAAAAAAGGAGGAAAUUGGCUUCUUCCCAAGGGUUUUCCAAGGAUAUUGUGGGCUCCAGGGAAAUGUCGUGGGUGGGGAGGAGCUGUCACUGUCCAUGCCCAUGCAGGAUGGGGAGCAGGGAGCUCUGUGCUGGCAGAUGCUCUGGGUGCAAUCAGCCUGUACAGGGUCAAGUGGAGAGGGGAUGAGCACUGGGGCAGGGAACAUAGGGUGAAUAAACAGAAAACAGCAGCAAGAUGAAAGGACAAGGAAGCUGUGUGACCUCUGAGCCCACCCUGACCCAGGCAUCACCAGGGAUGGACUGCAGCUCCGCUGACCUCUCCUUCUUCCACAGGGCGAACCGGCCGGCUUCCACCCAGAAAACAAAAGAAAACCCUGAGCCUGUCCAAGGGGUGAAGCUGGCAAGGCUGAGCUCCAACAACAGGGGAGCAGCGCUGUCAGGAGACACCCCCUCUCCUGAUGAGCUGCAGGAUAAACCCACAGCAGGGGACCCCAGGCUGAACGUGCCAGACUGCACACCCAAUUCCCACACACUCUCCGAACCAGCCUUGAGGACUCCAGAGUUUCUGCGGCACCGGGAGCUGCCGGUUCUGCCCGGGAAUGCCAGCACAACCGUGGUGGAUCCUAUGCCAGAUCCCGAUGGACGAAUCUAUGAAAGCAUCCGGUACAAAUCUGAGACACAGAAAAAGCCUGGGAAUGCUGACAGCACCACGGGGGACUCCCCAUCUCUGCCCACCAAGGAUGAGCUGAGCAUUUCCAUGCAGGAGAUCAUCACCCAGGAGGAGCCGGGCAGCGAGGGGAGCCCUGUCCCUGUGUAUGCCCGGGUGUGCAAACAGCGCCGGCAGCCUGCCAGGCCCCCUGAGCCCCAAGAAGAAGAAGAAGCUCCAUCACUGCCGGAAAAGCGCUUUGAUGUGGGAUAG
rnacentral:lncRNA from 14 species